rnacentral:rRNA from 1 species
AGAGUUUGAUCAUGGCUCAGAACGUACGCUGGCGGCACGCCUAACACAUGCAAGUCGAACGAAGUAGCAAUACUUAGUGGCAGACGGGUGAGUAACAUGUGGGUAUCUGCCCUUUGGCCUGGAAUAACACGAGGAAACUUGUGCUAAUACCGGAUAAGUCUUUACGGAGAAAGCUUUAUGCACCAUUGGAUGAGCCCGCACUUGAUUAGUUUGUUGGUGGGGUAAUGGCCUACCAAGACUGUGAUCAAUAGCUGAUUUGAGAGGAUGAUCAGCCACAUUGGGACUGAGACACGGCCCAAACUCCUACGGGAGGCAGCAGUGGGGAAUCUUGCACAAUGGAGGAAACUCUGAUGCAGCGAUGCCGCGUGAGUGAAGAAGGCCCUUGGGUUGUAAAGCUCUUUCGUCGGGGAAGAAAAUGACUGUACCCGAAUAAGAAGGUCCGGCUAACUUCGUGCCAGCAGCCGCGGUAAUACGAAGGGACCUAGCGUAGUUCGGAAUUACUGGGCUUAAAGAGUUCGUAGGUGGUUGAAAAAGUUAGUGGUGAAAUCCCAGAGCUUAACUCUGGAACUGCCAUUAAAACUUUUCAGCUAGAGUAUGAUAGAGGAAAGCAGAAUUUCUAGUGUAGAGGUGAAAUUCGUAGAUAUUAGAAAGAAUACCAAUUGCGAAGGCAGCUUUCUGGAUCAUUACUGACACUGAGGAACGAAAGCAUGGGUAGCGAAGAGGAUUAGAUACCCUCGUAGUCCAUGCCGUAAACGAUGUGUGUUAGACGUUGGAAAUUUAUUUUCAGUGUCGCAGCGAAAGCGAUAAACACACCGCCUGGGGAGUACGACCGCAAGGUUAAAACUCAAAUGAAUUGACGGGGACCCGCACAAGUAGUGGAGCAUGUGGUUUAAUUCGAAGAUACGCGCAGAACCUUACCAACACUUGACAUGUUCGUCGCGACUCUAAGAGAUUAGAGUUUUCGGUUCGGCCGGACGAAACACAGGUGCUGCAUGGCU